rnacentral:rRNA from 1 species
UGGGCGGGGGCACGGGGGGACGGGCCGCAGCAGGCGCGAAAACUUUACAAUGCGGGAAACCGUGAUAAGGGGACACCGAGUGCCAGCAACAUUUGCUGGCUGUCCGGGUGUUUAAACUACACCUGUUAGCAAGGGCCGGGCAAGACCGGUGCCAGCCGCCGCGGUAACACCGGCGGCCCGAGUGGUGAUCGUGAUUAUUGGGUCUAAAGGGUCCGUAGCCGGUUUGGUCAGUCCUCCGGGAAAUCUGAUAGCUUAACUAUUAGGCUUUCGGGGGAUACUGCCAGGCUUGGAACCGGGAGAGGUAAGAGGUACUACAGGGGUAGGAGUGAAAUCUUGUAAUCCCUGUGGGACCACCUGUGGCGAAGGCGUCUUACCAGAACGGGUUCGACGGUGAGGGACGAAAGCUGGGGGCACGAACCGGAUUAGAUACCCGGGUAGUCCCAGCCGUAAACGAUGCUCGCUAGGUGUCAGGCAUGGCGCGACCGUGUCUGGUGCCGCAGGGAAGCCGUGAAGCGAGCCACCUGGGAAGUACGGCCGCAAGGCUGAAACUUAAAGGAAUUGGCGGGGGAGCACAACAACGGGUGGAGCCUGCGGUUUAAUUGGACUCAACGCCGGACAACUCACCGGGGGCGACAGCAAUAUGUAGGCCAAGCUGAAGACUUUGCCUGAAUCGCUGAGAGGAGGUGCAUGGCCGUCGCCAGUUCGUACUGUGAAGCAUCCUGUUAAGUCAGGCAACGAGCGAGACCCGUGCCCACUGUUACCAGCAUGUCCUCCGGGACGAUGGGUACUCUGUGGGGACCGCCGGUGUUAAAUCGGAGGAAGGUGCGGGCCACGGUAGGUCAGUAUGCCCCGAAUCUCCCGGGCUACACGCGGGCUACAAUGGAUGGGACAAUGGGUCCCUACCCCGAAAGGGGCUGGCAAUCUCACAAACCCAUUCGUAGUUCGGAUCGAGGGCUGUAACUCGCCCUCGUGAAGCUGGAAUCCGUAGUAAUCGCGUUUCAAUAUAGCGCGGUGAAUACGUCCCUGCUCCUUUCACGAAUUCGCCGA